ACUCAAAUGAAUUGACGGGGGCCCGCACAAGCGGUGGAGCAUGUGGUUCAAUUCGAUGCAACGCGAAGAACCUUACCCGGGUUUGAACUGCAACUGAAAUACUCAGAGAUGGGUAUGGCUAGCAAUAGACAUUUGCAGAGGUGCUGCAUGGCUGUCGUCAGCUCGUGUCGUGAGAUGUUGGGUUAAGUCCCGCAACGAGCGCAACCCUUGCCUCUAGUUGCUCGGCCGUAAGGUCAGCACUCUAGAUGGGACUGCCGGUGAUAAACCGGAGGAAGGUGGGGAUGACGUCAAGUCAUCAUGGCCUUUAUGUCCGGGGCUACACACGUGCUACAAUGGACGGUACAAAGGGUCGCCAAACCGCAAGGUGGAGCCAAUCCCGAUAAAACCGCCCUCAGUUCGGAUUGCAGUCUGCAACUCGACUGCAUGAAGGUGGAAUCGCUAGUAAUCGCGGAUCAGCAUGCCGCGGUGAAUACGUUUCCGGGCCUUGUACACACCGCCCGU
rnacentral:rRNA from 1 species